rnacentral:lncRNA from 1 species
CCAUCAUGCCCAAGGACAUCCAGCUCGCCCGCCGCAUCCGUGGCGAGAGGGCCUAGGCCGCAAUCUGUGCGCCGUGAGUGUUUAGGUCCAUCUUAGCCUUUGUCCAGCCUUGGAAAUGUAUGCGUGCUAGUGUUUGUUCGUUCCAUCGUGGAUGUAGUGUGUCUGAUCUGAUGUCACCUUCUUGCUGUCAUCAGUAACUGAAAUGACAAUGUUGGCUAUCUGUUCUAAGAUCUGUGCCUUUUGGUGUGAGCCUGCCAUUGAAUGUGAUGCACGAAACGGUGGAUUUGAUUAUCCCGAUUUGUGAAAUUUUCUGCCGGUUUUAGCUACUUUGUCCUAAAUAAGUUGCUUCCAAGUAUUUAGCUUGAAUGAUGCCUUGGCUGUAUUAAAUUUCGUAAAUCACUAGUAAUCUUGUUGAUUGCCUCUGAACCUGAAUGAACAACCUUGGCUCGUUCAGUUCUGUGUGUCCAUCUGCUUUAUGUUGUUUUAGCCUUUUGCUGUUUUAUCCUGUAACUCCUUUUGAUCCCUGUGACUGCCGCAAUCAACUCUCACCUGUACCAUGAUGCUACGACUGGUAAAUUAGGACGAGAUGUUUUUAUUGUGCACUGCUCAUACUGUACAUACUGUCUUUAACACAACUGUAUCAAAUUUGAUGUCGCAUGCCAUGAUCCAUCUGAUGGAUUUCUUGCACCUGCAAAUGACAGCGUCAUGAUGUAGUUGACGGUGUGGCUGAGGCAGAAGGUGUAACUAAAGAUGAUGCAGGCUUCUGCUGCAGAUCAGAAAGGUGAACACAUGUUUGCGUGUAUUAAGAUAUUUUCAGUAAUUUAAUGCUGAAAUGAUACAUCUCCUGCUCUAACACAUGUCUUAAGAUGCAUUUACACAUAAUUCUGUUGGCAUCUACUCCCUCUGUUCCUAAAUAUUUGUCUUUUUAGAGAUUCAAAUGGACUACCACAUACGAAUGUAUAUAGACAUAUUUUAGAGUGUAGAUUCACUCAUUUUGCUCCGUAUGUAGUUACUUGUUGAAAUCUCUAGAAAGACAAAUAUUUAGGAACGGAGGGAGUAGUUUAUUGUUUACAUGUAUUAUCCGAUAGGGACAAGGAAGCUCUAAAGUACUUUAGGGAUAUCAAAUGGUACGUAAUUAGUGAGCCAAAGGGUUUCAAGCUUGAAUUUCACUUCAAUACUAAUCCAAUCUUUUAAGAAUGAAUUGCUUACAAAAAAGAAGAUGAACCAGUCCUAGAUAAAGCCAUUAGGUAAUUAUUAUUUCAACUCACAUGCUCUAUUUGUAUUGUUGUUUUUUCCACUAUUUUUAUGUUUAGGUGGUUUUCUAGUACUAAAUUUAUCCUUGGAAGCGCUUGACACAGAAGGUGCUAAAAAAGAAGCCAAAGAAGGGGUCAAAGAACGAUAUGCCUAUCACCACCCCACUGCCUAUCAUGAAAACUGAAAAUUGUGAGAGCUUCUAUAAAUUCUUUGGGCUCCAUGCGUAUGCUAGUGCUUUGUAAAGCUCGUUGUCUUUCUUGCAAUGGUGUAUGUGUUAUGCCUCAUCUGAAAGUAGUGUUACCACCUAUGGUUAUAAUAAUGGGCGCAUCACCCACACAAUUCCUAACAAACUAUGCUUCCACGUUCAGAGAAAAUGUUACAUCUGCAUCUCCUAUGAACUUGCUACAGGUUGGUCGUUCCCGGGGCUGAUCAGACACUAGAACAUCACGAAAGCGCUGGCCACGAAUUGUCGGAAUCUCAUGCUGUCCCUGAAAAAAUACAAUGUUUAGGUAGAAUAUGUAUGCUGAAGAUUGGAUACACUCAGGAGUAUAAAGGUAAGAUGUGUCCUAUCAUAACAAGUAAAUAAGCAGCUCAACUGCAUUGUAUCAGUGAGAAGUGACUGUACGGGAAGUUAACAGUCUGAUCUUAAACAUCAAUGCCUGUCUCCCUGAUUUCAGCAAACGGUUUAGUUUAUCCAUCCCACUGGAUAGAUAUCUCUCUGAAAAUGUUUCCAAAAUUUCUUGGUUUCAAAAUAUCCUGUGGAUAGACAUGUUCUUUUGAAGGGAAGGUUUAAAAAUACCCAUCCGUCAAUGCAUGUUUGGAUUAGACUGGUCCAAAGAGAUUUUUAAGACCUCAAUUUGAUGCUUUAUUGGCCAUCCAAUUUUUCCUAAAUUCAAAUGCUUCCUACUAUUAUCUUACACGAUAACAUACAGACUUCACAACACCUCUUCUUUAUUUGCCCUCUGCUUGAUUUUUUUUUCAGUAGACUGCUCCUCAACUUAAGAAUUCCGAAAAGAUGACGGGUUAAACACAGCGUUGUGGUAGCAGUAGGUUUACUGUUGUGGUGAACAUUAAUAAAUUGUAACCUUGGGAUAUUAUAUUGCCUUCCGCAGCCGCAGUAGGACUAUUCCAAUUGAGAAGGAUUAGAGACCAUAUAUAUUGACUCUUACUGCUAAAAAGGAUUAUUGAUGCAGUAAAAAUUGUAUACUGACUUGAAACAAUUGGAAAGAGACAUAUUGCAUACCACCAUGAAAGUCUCAGCUAGUACCUUUUGCAGAAUAAACAUAUUCAUAUAUGCAUCGGCUCAAACUUCGGUGGUUUAAAUACAUGUGUAGAUAAAGAAAACCAAAGUAGUUUGAAAAUCUUGCAGAUUUCUGAAGCCUUAACUUUGGAUUUUUAGAUUCUCUUUGGCAAGAAAAUUGAUAAGGUAAAUCACCCAAAAUUCAGAAACCGUAAUUUGCAUUGUGAUUAUGCCCCUUUCUAUUUUGUUAUCACUGCUAGUACAAGACAUCUGAAAAAGAGGAUAGAGUUCAGAGAUGCAAAUAAUACCCAAUGUUUUUUUAAACAGAGUCUCAGAGGUACUUAUAUAAUCCUGUACCCUUAUGAUCAUGAAAAUGAAAUUGAAGGAAUGCCGCAUGUUCACCAUUUAACCACAAUCAACAAAAAUAUGUGUAACAUAAGUCAAUGCCCAAGUUGCCAAGAUAAACAUCAUUUUAUAACUUGCAGUAUUGUAUUCUGCCCAUCUCAAAAGUUAAAAAAAAAACUGCUUGAGAUUGACAAACCUUCUUAACUCAGAUGUCUGGGUACCAGGUAGCUGUUCCCUGGACCAACAAAAAAUGCUUGUUAGUGAGGACUUUGCACAAGAAAUGUAAAUGUAGUUAAAUUAUAUAGGAGCCAGUGCAUUCUGUUUUCAUGUUUGUACCUAUGUCUUUCCCUUCCUCUUCCCUGUUUUCUUAUUCUCCUCAUUGGAUUUAUUUGCAUCAGCUUCUCCAUCAUUUAAUUCCCUAACACUGUAAUUUUUUUUUCAGAGCACACAAUCAAUGAAAUGACACUUCUAACCCACCAGGAUAUACACCACAAGAAGAACACGGUAAUAACAUCAGGUGAUGGAAACUAACUUAUCACAUUAGGCCAUAGAAGCAGCAGGAUAAAUAAUUGGACAUCCCAACUUGCAAUGAUAAAUCACAUAAAGGGGACAUGAUAGCACUUAGCAGCAUGAUAUCUUGCAGUAAAAAUGCUGCAUGUGAACUGUAAUCAACAUCAGCAGUACUAUAGAAUUGAAAGUUCAGACUUGAGUACUAGAGUAUCAGGCAUGCAUAAGAAGAUAGAUUUGUUAAAAGAACCGAUCCAACAGCAGCUAGGGCGAUGUUUUUAACUCUGCAGCUAUCUAGCGCCACUUGAGACUAGUAGGAAAUGAAAAAUGACAAGAAAAAAUAACCAUAGGAAGUUGAAGCUGAUGAAAAAUUCUUUGUCACAAAAGAACAGGGGGAUGUUAGCUUGCUACAGACUGACAUAACAAAAAAACCUGCGUUGAAAAAAUGAACUGACAAGAAGAUAGAGAUAUUGCUACUGGUGGAAAAAUAGACUUUACUGUGGUCUGGUGAACCAUAAAUUGCAUAGGAUAAAGCACAUGGAAAAUAGGCAUUCCAAAUACUAGUCGAGGCUGCCGAGACCUACCUCACGGUGCUGCUUGAGGACACCAACCUCUGCGCCAUCCACGCCAAGCACAUCACCAUCAUGCCCAAGGACAUCCAGCUCGCCCGCCACAUCCGUGGUGAGAGCAUAAGCUGCAAUCCAUGCAUCGCCUGUUAGGUCCUUCUUACCAGUGGAAAUGUGUGUGCUACUAGUGUCUUGGAGAGUUUUUUUUUUUAGUUCUUUUUACCGUAUCGUUCUCAUCAGCAAUUGAAAAAUAUGUUGCCUGUCUGGUCUCUGACAUGUGCUUUCUCAUUGCCUGUUUUUUCUCCCUUUUACGUGACACUGUCCUCCAAUCCCAACUUGUGAAAAUCUAGCCUGUCCAACAUCGUUCUGAUUUUUAGCACUCUUACACAUUAUCUCUUUCCUGCAUCCGAACCUGAACGAACAACAUGUCAGUAUGCUCGUCUUCAGUUCCGUGUAUCGACCAAUUGCAUAAUAGUGGCAGUAUGUUCGAUGUUUAGUACGCAGAUUCAGUGUCGUGCAAUAUUCCCACUGUCUGUUUUUCUCACCAAAUGGUUCCUGGCUCGUUAUAUUUCCUACCGGUUUGAGCUAAAUCGCCCUGAUUCUAGAUUAAAGUAUCCCUUGGCCGUGUCAAAUUUCGUAUUCACUAAUAUAGUUUGCUACCUCUGAAUCUGAGUGAACAUAUGUUAAUAUGCUCCCUCAGUUCCGUGCUAUAUAACCGUACCAGUAUGUUUGAUAUCCACUGCACAGAUUCUUGGAAGGGCCUCCUGAUGAUGUACCAAUAUGUUCAUGCUUGUCCUCCUGAUCCUCCCAGCUGGCACUGUGCCUCCAGUUUUUGUUUGGAUGGCUGAUGCAGUUUUGCUCACUGCUGUAUGCUCGAUCAUGGGUCACGGACUAUUUUGUUUCAUGAUUAUAGCAUCCUGAUGGGCGCUGAACUAAGAUAGUUUCAGUUAUGUUUUUGUGCUGCAACAAUGAGCAUGAUCUAGUCCACAGGGAUCUUAUAGGAUUAAAUAUGUUACCCCCUCCGUUCACUUUUAUAAGUCGUUUUAGACAAGUGAAAUUGAGCUGUUUUGCACAAUGUCGGAAACGUCUACAAAGCCUUAUAAAAGUGAACAGAGGGACUACUGUAUUUUACUCCCUCCGUCCGGAAAUACUUGUCAUCAAAAUGGAUAAAAGGGGAUGUAUCUAGACGUAUUUUAGUUCUAGAUACAUCUCUUUUUAUCCAUUCUGAUGACAAGUAUUUUCGGACGGAGGGAGUAUUAUUUUGUGAAUCCACUCUCUUGAAUGAAGUGAAGUGACCGUGAGCAAUUGUAAUCUUUCGCAAUGGUGUAAUAAGUUAGGCCCAUUUUUCUUUCUGUCUGCAAACACAAUAUUUCUUCGUCAAUCUUUCCAAGGGAAUCUUUGUAGUGAUCUUUUUAAUGUUGUGAUAACUUGUGUUCGUUUUUAUCUUCUACGUAGUAGAAAAUUACUGAAGAUAAAUGGAGCCACAUCUUGUGGGAGCUCCAGAGCUAGCUGAAGGACAUGAAUAUGAUAUGACAGUGGAUGUGAAAGCAAUUUCAGACUCGAAUUGAUGUUAUUUUCUUCUCCCUUUGCACUUGUAAUAAUAACGUGCCUGUCAGCCAUUACCUUGUCUCCCACUUAUUUUUUACAUGUCCUGAACUUGGAGUCCAAGUUUUUGUAUCCAUGCAUGAUACCCAUGGGAAGGCAUUAUCAUUCAAACCAUGCAGGAGAGCUGCAUGUAUAUUCAUUAAGAGAGAAAGAUGAUACGAUGUCAAAGAAGGCACAACCAAUAACAACGCCCGGCCUAAACGCCACGAGGAUCAUCAACAUGAAAGACGACAUCCCUUGAGCAAAAUACAGCCAAACCCAACCUAGACUAGUGCAACAGAUACAACAGAACUACACAAGGCAAAAAGGAAGAACAAACCACUGCAUGCAAGAUCUGAACCCAGCCCCAAAGAGAAACGACCUAAGAGCAUCUCCAGCAGUUCACCCCCCAGGACGUCGAAAAAGCGUCGUCUAGGGUCGAACCAGCGCUUACUUUCGGCGUGGGGGCGAUUGCGUUCCCAGUCGUCACCCCUAGGUCGCCCCCAACUCGGCGCAAACUCGGCGAUUUGAUUCGAAUUCGGCACAAACUUGGUGAUUUUUAUUCAAAUUUGUACAAGAAAUCAGAAAAAAAAUGAACUACGCCUAGCCCUACUACUGCCGCCCGCCUUCUACAUGCCGAGGAGCCUGCGUCGUCGUCGCCGCCGCCCUGCGUCCAGCCGGAGCCGCCACCGUCCUUGUUGCACCCCUGACCAGGGUCGUCGACGCGCGGGGGGUUGGACGGCCCGGGCGCGUCCUCCUCGUCGCUGUCGAGGACGACGACGCCACCCUCCUCGCGACCGCGGCGCCGGGCCUUGAUCUCCUCGUAGGCUCGGCGCUGGCGCGCCACCUGCUCGCGGAUGUAGUCCGCCUUCGCCCACUUGAGGACGGUGUUGUCGUCGGCGGCGGCCAUCUCUGCGUGCUCCUUCUUGACGGGGAGCAACCCCGGCUCGGUCUUUGGCCGGACUAGGCGGAGGGAACGCGGGGAGGGGCGGCCGCCCUCGUUGAUGACGAGGGCGCUGCUGUGGGUGUGGCGCCCAAGCGGCGUCUCCUGCGGCUCUGGCUUGACGAGGCGGAGCGCCGGCGACCCAAACGAUAGCGAAAAGCCCGACGACGAGGAGGUCGCCGCCUCCAUUCGCCGCGACGUCCAGGAGCUGCCACGUCGGCGAGAGAAGGACGGGCGCGCCGGGUACUCGAGGCGCGGCGUGUUGCCGGUCUCGAUGUGAUCGAGGACGGCCUCGAGGGUGCGGCCGGGCACGCCCCACCAUUCGCGCCGCCCGUCGGCGUUGAGUUGGCCGCAGAGGAUGGUGCCGUUGGCGGAGACGAUCUGCUCUUCACAGCGGCAGUCGAAGUACAUCAUCCACAACUAGUGGCUGUCGACGGCGUACCUCGGCUCGUUCCGCUGCUCCUCCGACAGCAACGAACGGUUGCAGGUGAUCUCGGCCCGCCGUUCAGCCCCGGUGGGCACCGGGGGUACCGGGACGCCGCUAGCGCUCAACCUUCACGAGCCCUGCAUCCACAUGUCUGGGGGCGCCGGAUAGUCGACCUCGUAGAGGAGGCGCGCCUCGUCCUCGUGGAGAUGGCGGCGACCAAAGCCGUUUGCCGCCGCGGUGUCGCCGAGGUACCGCUCAGCCAUUGCUCGUUGGCGGGGAAGGGGGGGAGAGUUGCUUCUGUGGUGAGACGAGGUGAGAGAGAAGGCGAGUUGUGGCGACUGUGGCGUUCACCGGCGGGGAGGUCGGCUUUUAUAGCCGAAGCGGGGCGGUGAGAAUCUGCAUGCCGGGUGACGCGUGGCAGGAGCGGGCGGGACGCGCGUCGCGGCGCCUUCACUGCCCGCCUGUGAGGCAUCAAUGGAGGCUGACCGGCACGACAGCCUUGGCAUUGAUUCCUGCGGGAACCGAGGCGAUAAGGACGACGAAGCGGCGUGUCGCUGACUCGGUGGGCCCAUUCCCGUUCGCACCAAAAUCGGUUUACCCGGCUCCCCCAGCGCACAGGGUUCGGCCUGGGUCCGCCGGCGCCAAUUUCGGCCCGAACCGACGAAAAACGGACUUCUGAAGGCGCGACUGGGCCGUUUAUUGUNNNNNNNNNNNNNNNNNNNNNNNNNNNNNNNNNNNNNNNNNNNNNNNNNNNNNNNNNNNNNNNNNNNNNNNNNNNNNNNNNNNNNNNNNNNNNNNNNNNNNNNNNNNNNNNNNNNNNNNNNNNNNNNNNNNNNNNNNNNNNNNNNNNNNNNNNNNNNNNNNNNNNNNNNNNNNNNNNNNNNNNNNNNNNNNNNNNNNNNNNNNNNNNNNNNNNNNNNNNNNNNNNNNNNNNNNNNNNNNNNNNNNNNNNNNNNNNNNNNNNNNNNNNNNNNNNNNNNNNNNNNNNNNNNNNNNNNNNNNNNNNNNNNNNNNNNGGGGGCACGGCUGAAGAUGCUCUAAGCUCAACACUCAUAACGACAACGUCGGCUGAAGCACAGGCAUCACAGGGACAUUUCCACCACAACUCCACAAGCCUUGAGCCGAAACCCUUAAAUCAUUGCAUGCAGCAGCCGAAUGAAUGUACUUCAUCCGUUCGAAAUUACUUGUCUCGAAAAUGGAUGUAUCUAGAACUAAAAUACAUCUAAAUAUAUCCAUUUCUACGACAAUUAAUUUCGGACGGAGGGAGUACGUACGCACAUCAGGUGUAUAUCAGCAUGUAUCGGUUCAUCAGCUGAAACUCCCGCACACCGUUCCACCUCUAGAACCAAGUCAACUUCUAAACCCAUUAACACGGGCCAAUGAACAGCCUAAAUUAUGCAGGCACUGUUAUUCCACAGCAAGCGACAAUCACAACCAUAUCAAGUCAUAAUUAAAAUAACUUGAAGAUGAUGAUCGAUGCGUCUGGAGAUGACGUCGACGUUUCGCCCUAGGUUAACGAGGCGCCGCGUGGUGUGAUGAUUCAGGUGGAGGAUCAUCGCAGGCGGCAAGGCGAGACAGAGCUGCGACGACGGCGCCAAUGGGGGAUCUCAUGGCCGGCCGUUGGUGGAUGCACAUGGAAGCAACUUCUAGUGCCUCCUGCAAACCCAUGGACGGAUACUGGUCCUGCAGCGCCGGGUCUGCCAUCCACCGGAGCUGGCUCCUGUCCUUCAUCACUCGUGUCGCCUGAUCCAGCAGCAAAGAUCAAUCAUUCACGGCAAAAUCAACAAAAAACAGCAAAUGCGCGAACCACGGGCUUGGCUAUAGUUAACUUACCCACAUGACAAGGUUCCGAUCCUCGGCGGCGGCCUGGGCGGGGUCGAAGGGGGUCCGUCCCGUGAUCAACUCCAGCAGCACGCCGCCGAAGCUGUACACGUUCGACUUGGUGGUCACCCUCCCGGUAGCUAACAUCUCGGGGGCAAUAUUAGUACUUCGCGUGAAGCUCUUGAUUUCCUCUGCACCUAGCUGAUGAAGCUCUGCCAGUCCAUACUGGGACAGCUUUGGGUGGUAGCCAUCUCCGAGCAAGAUGUCCGAGCUGCUCAUGGGUUUGCGGUACACCACACCUUGGUGGUGCAGAUACUCCAAACCCUUGGCCACGCCGGCAGCUAUGUUCAUCCUUGUGUUCCAGUCUAGCAGUGCUUUGCCCGGAGACCGAUCUGUCUAGCACAAGAUCGAUCCGGUGUGGUUAGUUAAUCAACACAGACUCGAGCGAUUGAAUCGUGGGCAAAAUUAAUUUACUGGGUUUUGGUAUAUAUCAAUAAAUACCAUGGAGGUGAUUUUGGAGAGAACCCAAUGGCAUGUACUCGUGAACCAAGAUCCCGCGAUUGCCGUCCGUGCAGAAGCCGACGAGGUUGACGACAUUCGGGUGGCGCAACGAGCUCAGCGUCAGGACACGAGCAAGAAACUCCUUGUUGAGUUGCUCUGAUGAAUAUGAAACUAAGUGAAGAAUGGAUUAGCUAGCUGGCCAGGAUGAUCACCUGACUGACGCUCCUGAGGUAGCCUUUGUAGAGGCUCGCCUCCCGAACGAUGCGGAAGCCGUCUCUGAAGUUCCUGGUCGCCUCGGCGAGCUCGUCGAAGGUGAAGGUUCGUGCCGCAGUGGCGGUGGCGGCGACGCUGCCGCGGCUGUGGGGAUCGGCCCGGGGAGGCGGUGGGAUCACUUCCUUCCUUGCCCCCAGGCAGAGGAAGCAGCUGGAACCACCCAUCGCCGGCGGAGAGGAAGAGCCGCCGCACCGCACCACUACUGGUGGCUUGUGGCCUUAAGUAGCCAGCACCGCUUGCCGAAGACGGAAACCACCAACAUCUUGAAAGCGCGUCUACUCGAUCACUUUGCCGAAAACGGAAACCACCAACGACCAUCAAGUAGUACUACAGUAGUAUUUCUCUGACCGGGGUUGCACUUUGACCAUAGAAUAAAGCAUGCAAGUUACUGUAGUAUUUUUCAGACUAUAUAGUGCUCGAGUUUAGCUAGCACAGUACCACAUUACUGGUGGCUUAUGGCCUUGAGGAGCCAUUACAACGGAAACCACUAACUUGCAAACAAACGAAACAAGUAGCCAGUCGGUACACACGCGUCUUCUCUCCACCAUGGUCUCCGGUCACUUCACUAAAGCCCCAAGCAAAGAACGAGAAGCAACGUUGAUCAGCCCACUCGGCUUUUCCUCUUUCAAACAUGCAUGCGUGCACGCAUGUCCACCCAAAUUCUCGCGGGCCAUGGCAUCUGUACUAUGUUUACAUUGCUGUUCCGUUCUACAAUGUAGUGCGCAUAGACUUUGACCAAGUUUAUAAAGACUACGACUGAGUUUGUGAAGACUACAUUAUGAAAAAUAAAGAGUACUAAUACUCCCUGGGGUCCUUUUUACUACUCUGCAUAUAAGAAUUAUCUGAAGUCAAACUUCCUAAAGUUUGAACAUAUUUACAUGAAAAAAUAUCACCAUGUACAAUACUUGCUUCGAUCCAUAUUAAUUGUCACUGCUUUAAUUAUACAACUUUGUAUUCAAAUUGGAUAGGAGGGAGUACUAAAGUUAUACAAUAUGAAAAUUAAAUCCAUGCCGCAUCUAAUGAUAAUGAUUUCGUAUUGUGGAUAUUGAUAUGAUAUUUAUAAAGUUGGUCAAACUUUACGAAGUUUAACUUCAGACAAAUCUUAUAUGCGAGGUAAAAAGAACUGGUGGGAGUACCUCUUAUUUGAGGGAAAAGUUCCAAUUUAUUCAUCAAAUAUCAUGUCAUCACAAACAACAUCAGAAGUAAUAUAAAUAAAUUACAUCCAUGCCCGUAGACCAUCCAGCGAAGACUAUAAGCAUUGGAGGGAGCCGAAGGCGCGUCACUGUCAUCAGCCCUUCCUCAUCAUAGUCAGGCAAAUCUUGUUGUAGUAGAUAGUCGAGAUAUCAUCGCGCUAAGGAUUAAAAUGACCAACACACGAGAACAACAACUGUCGCCGAUGAAGCGAACCGUAGAUCUAAAGUAUCCAACCUGCAAACACUCGAAUGUAGACACACGAAGAUCGGUCCAAGCAGAUCCACCAAAGACAAACACCGACCGAACCCCGUGAGAUCCGCUAGAAACACACCUCCACACAGAUCUCACGAUGCUAGACGCACCACCGGGACAGGGGCUAGAUGGAAAGAACCUUAUUCCGUUUUAGGGAGCCGCCGCCUCCUCGCCUUCUUGAGCAAGACACAAAUCCUAAACAAACUAAAGAAACACAUAAAAAUGGAGCAGGAGCCUUCCCACCGGCAAGGGCCGGGAUCGACCGCACCUUCAUGGCCUUAAGGCCAUAGUGAACAAGACGGAUCAGUAUCGGCGCCAGCGAAAGGCGGAGAAACCCUGGCCGCUUGGGAGACGAUGUGGCGAGGAGGAAAACGGUUAAAGUACUCGUACUAAGUUUUGCCUCGAAUAACAGAUCCCACAUCCACCCCUUUAUCUUUGUUGCAUUUGCACUAGCUGCUUUUUUCAUUCUCCCUUCUCCUUUUCUUCCGACAGCACACGACUAGAAGAAGAAUCGACUAAAUCACUAAAGACUAAGCAAGAUUAGUGAUUAAUGUACGAUAUUAGUAUCACUAAUAUAUAACUAGCACACAGGCCUACGUAAUGCAAGGGCACCUUUUACAUUAUGCAGUGCCUUGUGUCUCAUGCCUGCAACGGGUCGUGCUGCAUCGAAGUCGUAUGGUGCAUGAUCCCUCUGUCUUAUUAUGUACUCCCUUCGUUUCUAAAUAUAAGUUUUUGUAGAGAUUUUAUUAUGAACUAUAUACAAAGCAAAAUGAGUGAAUCUACACUUUAAAAUGUGUCUAUAUACAUCCGUAUGUGGUGCAUAAUGAAGUAUCUACAAAGACUUACAUUUAGGAACAGAGGGAGUAUAUGUCAACUGCCGAGGGUGACUCACAUAAAUCAUCUCCUCCUUGUUAUACACUGUAUAGGACACGUGGGUGCUUGAACCAUGAAGCCGACAGAGCCAGGAGCAGCUGUCAUAGGGCUCAACAUAAUUGUUUUGACCCUUAAUCACGAUUAAGAGUUUAAUGUGAAAUGAUCCAUUUUCAAAAGUAGUCUACCACCGGUGUCAAACUUACAUACCAAGGAUAAGUAAAUAGUGUGGCUUUAGCAACGACUUUCUCUUAAAAAAAAUAAGUAAAGAGACUUUAUCUGUUGACCAGGCCACUAAUCAUUAAUGCCUCUAUAGUACAAUAAUUGACAAACCAACAAAAAGUCAAGAUAGAUUGCUUAGUCUUCGUGCAUUGACGAUUUGACAUGAUGAGAAAAAUCUAUGAAGCAUAGUACGUCUUCUAGUAUGAUUUUUUUCCUUACAAAAGAAGCACAUGCAUGCAUUGACUGACCGGAAAGACUUGUGGACCAUUGAUUGAUGGACGAAAAAAGUCUACCAAGAUGUUCUUUGAUAGUACCAACUUUUAAUGUCAUCUACCCCUUUGAAGGAAGCCAUGCAUGAAGGCUAGCCAUAGUGGGGUAACUUAGGUAGUAACUUACACAUCCCAAGAUAAUUUUGCUUAUGUGGCAUGUAUUUAAUGAGGAAAGAGGUGUUUGUGAUAACAUAAUAUGUUACUGUAAUAUAUCAUUUUUUGAGGCAAAAUGAGUCUAUGAGCUAAUAAAUGAAGCCAUAUAUGACACUACUACUAUAUUACUUUGCACUAUGAAGAUAGUAACUUAGACUAGUAUUAUAUGCAUGAUACUAGUAUAAAUUACUCCCCACUAUGAUCAGCCGAAGAAAUCUUCCGUGACAUGCUGACAUCAUCUCAUUAAUUACUAAAUUCAAUUUCUAAAAUAUUUUAUUUUAAAAAACCAUUAAUUUAAUCCGCGAUCCAUUUUCAUCGCAGGCUAAGGCGGCGCCCAAGUCCGCCCUGGCCGCCGGCAACGUCAAGAAGCCCCCACCGCUUCCGCCCCGGCACCGUCGGCCCGUCGCACUUUGGGAGAUCACCGAGCUGCUCAUACCCAAAGCCCCCCUUCCAGCGUCUCGUCCCGGAGAUCGCCCAGGGCUUCAGGACCGACCUCCGCUUCCAGAGCUCCGCCGUCUCCGCGCUGCUGCAGGAGGCCGCCGAGGCGUACCUGAUGGGGCUGUUCGAGGACACCAACCUCUGCGCCAUCCACGCCAAGCGCGUCACCAUCAUUGCCCAAGGACAUCUUAGCCUUUGUUCAGCGGUGGAAAUGUAUGCGUGCUAGUGUUUAUUCGUGCCAUGGUGGAUGUAGUGCGCAUGAUCUGAUGUCACCACCUUGCUGUCAUCAGUAAUUAAAAUGAAAA